UUAAGCGACUAAGCGUACACGGUGGAUGCCCUGGCAGUCAGAGGCGAUGAAGGGCGUGCUAAUCUGCGAUAAGCGCCGGUAAGGUGAUAUGAACCGUUAUAACCGGCGAUACCCGAAUGGGGAAACCCAGUGUGACUCGUCACACUAUCAUUAACUGAAUCCAUAGGUUAAUGAGGCGAACCGGGGGAACUGAAACAUCUAAGUACCCCGAGGAAAAGAAAUCAACCGAGAUUCCCCCAGUAGCGGCGAGCGAACGGGGAGGAGCCCAGAGCCUGAAUCAGCAUGUGUGUUAGUGGAAGCGUCUGGAAAGGCGCGCGAUACAGGGUGACAGCCCCGUACACAAAAGCGCAUGUGCUGUGAGCUCGAUGAGUAGGGCGGGACACGUGGUAUCCUGUCUGAAUAUGGGGGGACCAUCCUCCAAGGCUAAAUACUCCUGACUGACCGAUAGUGAACCAGUACCGUGAGGGAAAGGCGAAAAGAACCCCGGCGAGGGGAGUGAAAAAGAACCUGAAACCGUGUACGUACAAGCAGUGGGAGCCCCACCACCAAAGCAUUCUCUGGUGUUGAAGGCCCUGCAAAGCAGCAUCGCGGUGGCGGAGCGUCGUUUGCGACGCCCAACACACAAAACAAGCGGUGAGUGCUUUGGGGUGGGGUGACUGCGUACCUUUUGUAUAAUGGGUCAGCGACUUAUAUUCUGUAGCAAGGUUAACCGAAUAGGGGAGCCGGAGGGAAACCGAGUCUUAAUUGGGCGUUAAGUUGCAGGGUAUAGACCCGAAACCCGGUGAUCUAGCCAUGGGCAGGUUGAAGGUUGGGUAACACUAACUGGAGGACCGAACCGACUAAUGUUGAAAAAUUAGCGGAUGACCUGUGGCUGGGGGUGAAAGGCCAAUCAAACCGGGAGAUAGCUGGUUCUCCCCGAAAGCUAUUUAGGUAGCGCCUCGUGAAUUCAUCUCCGGGGGUAGAGCACUGUUUCGGCUAGGGGGCCAUCCCGGCUUACCAACCCGAUGCAAACUGCGAAUACCGGAGAAUGUUAUCACGGGAGACACACGGCGGGUGCUAACGUCCGUCGUGAAGAGGGAAACAACCCAGACCGCCAGCUAAGGUCCCAAAGUCAUGGUUAAGUGGGAAACGAUGUGGGAAGGCCCAGACAGCCAGGAUGUUGGCUUAGAAGCAGCCAUCAUUUAAAGAAAGCGUAAUAGCUCACUGGUCGAGUCGGCCUGCGCGGAAGAUGUAACGGGGCUAAACCAUGCACCGAAGCUGCGGCAGCGACACUGUGUGUUGUUGGGUAGGGGAGCGUUCUGUAAGCCUGUGAAGGUGUGUCGUGAGGCAUGCUGGAGGUAUCAGAAGUGCGAAUGCUGACAUAAGUAACGAUAAAGCGGGUGAAAAGCCCGCUCGCCGGAAGACCAAGGGUUCCUGUCCAACGUUAAUCGGGGCAGGGUGAGUCGACCCCUAAGGCGAGGCCGAAAGGCGUAGUCGAUGGGAAACGGGUUAAUAUUCCCGUACUUGGUGUUACUGCGAAGGGGGGACGGAGAAGGCUAUGUUGGCCGGGCGACGGUUGUCCCGGUUUAAGCGUGUAGGUGUGUGUUCCAGGUAAAUCCGGUUCACUUUAACACUGAGGCGUGACGACGAGGCACUACGGUGCUGAAGCAACAAAUGCCCUGCUUCCAGGAAAAGCCUCUAAGCAUCAGGUAACACGAAAUCGUACCCCAAACCGACACAGGUGGUCAGGUAGAGAAUACCAAGGCGCUUGAGAGAACUCGGGUGAAGGAACUAGGCAAAAUGGUGCCGUAACUUCGGGAGAAGGCACGCUGACACGUAGGUGAAGUGAUUUACUCAUGGAGCUGAAGUCAGUCGAAGAUACCAGCUGGCUGCAACUGUUUAUUAAAAACACAGCACUGUGCAAACACGAAAGUGGACGUAUACGGUGUGACGCCUGCCCGGUGCCGGAAGGUUAAUUGAUGGGGUCAGCGCAAGCGAAGCUCCUGAUCGAAGCCCCGGUAAACGGCGGCCGUAACUAUAACGGUCCUAAGGUAGCGAAAUUCCUUGUCGGGUAAGUUCCGACCUGCACGAAUGGCGUAAUGAUGGCCAGGCUGUCUCCACCCGAGACUCAGUGAAAUUGAACUCGCUGUGAAGAUGCAGUGUACCCGCGGCAAGACGGAAAGACCCCGUGAACCUUUACUAUAGCUUGACACUGAACAUUGAGCCUUGAUGUGUAGGAUAGGUGGGAGGCUUUGAAGUGUGGACGCCAGUCUGCAUGGAGCCGACCUUGAAAUACCACCCUUUAAUGUUUGAUGUUCUAACGUGGACCCGUGAUCCGGGUUGCGGACAGUGUCUGGUGGGUAGUUUGACUGGGGCGGUCUCCUCCUAAAGAGUAACGGAGGAGCACGAAGGUUGGCUAAUCCUGGUCGGACAUCAGGAGGUUAGUGCAAUGGCAUAAGCCAGCUUGACUGCGAGCGUGACGGCGCGAGCAGGUGCGAAAGCAGGUCAUAGUGAUCCGGUGGUUCUGAAUGGAAGGGCCAUCGCUCAACGGAUAAAAGGUACUCCGGGGAUAACAGGCUGAUACCGCCCAAGAGUUCAUAUCGACGGCGGUGUUUGGCACCUCGAUGUCGGCUCAUCACAUCCUGGGGCUGAAGUAGGUCCCAAGGGUAUGGCUGUUCGCCAUUUAAAGUGGUACGCGAGCUGGGUUUAGAACGUCGUGAGACAGUUCGGUCCCUAUCUGCCGUGGGCGCUGGAGAACUGAGGGGGGCUGCUCCUAGUACGAGAGGACCGGAGUGGACGCAUCACUGGUGUUCGGGUUGUCAUGCCAAUGGCACUGCCCGGUAGCUAAAUGCGGAAGAGAUAAGUGCUGAAAGCAUCUAAGCACGAAACUUGCCCCGAGAUGAGUUCUCCCUGAGACUUAGAGUCUCCUGAAGGAACGUUGAAGAUGACGACGUUGAUAGGCCGGGUGUGUAAGCGCAGCGAUGCGUUGAGCUAACCGGUACUAAUGAACCGUGAGGCUUAACCUU
rnacentral:rRNA from 1 species